GACGAACGCUGGCGGCGUGCUUAACACAUGCAAGUCGAACGAUGAACCGGAGCUUGCUCUGGGGAUUAGUGGCGAACGGGUGAGUAACACGUGGGCAACCUGCCCCAGACACCGGGAUAACCAUUCGAAAGGAUGGCUAAUACCGGAUACGACCACUUCGGGCAUCCGAUGGUGGUGGAAAGGAUUCUGGUCUGGGAUGGGCCCGCGGCCUAUCAGCUUGUUGGUGGGGUAAUGGCCUACCAAGGCGACGACGGGUAGCCGGCCUGAGAGGGCGACCGGCCACACUGGGACUGAGACACGGCACAGACUCCUACGGGAGGCAGCAGUGGGGAAUAUUGCGCAAUGGGCGAAAGCCUGACGCAGCGACGCCGCGUGAGGGACGAAGGUCUUCGGAUUGUAAACCUCUUUCAGCAGGGAUGAAGCGAAAGUGACAGUACCUGCAGAAGAAGCACCGGCUAACUACGUGCCAGCCGCCGCAGUAAGAC
rnacentral:rRNA from 1 species